ACCUUCGGGGAACGAUAACGGCGUCGAGCGGCGGACGGGUGAGUAAUGCCUAGGAAAUUGCCCUGAUGUGGGGGAUAACCAUUGGAAACGAUGGCUAAUACCGCAUGAUGCCUACGGGCCAAAGAGGGGGACCUUCGGGCCUCUCGCGUCAGGAUAUGCCUAGGUGGGAUUAGCUAGUUGGUGAGGUAAGGGCUCACCAAGGCGACGAUCCCUAGCUGGUCUGAGAGGAUGAUCAGCCACACUGGAACUGAGACACGGUCCAGACUCCUACGGGAGGCAGCAGUGGGGAAUAUUGCACAAUGGGCGCAAGCCUGAUGCAGCCAUGCCGCGUGUGUGAAGAAGGCCUUCGGGUUGUAAAGCACUUUCAGUCGUGAGGAAGGUGGUGUAGUUAAUAGCUGUAUUAUUUGACGUUAGCGACAGAAGAAGCACCGGCUAACUCCGUGCCAGCAGCCGCGGUAAUACGGAGGGUGCGAGCGUUAAUCGGAAUUACUGGGCGUAAAGCGCAUGCAGGUGGUUUGUUAAGUCAGAUGUGAAAGCCCGGGGCUCAACCUCGGAAUUGCAUUUGAAACUGGCAGACUAGAGUACUGUAGAGGGGGGUAGAAUUUCAGGUGUAGCGGUGAAAUGCGUAGAGAUCUGAAGGAAUACCGGUGGCGAAGGCGGCCCCCUGGACAGAUACUGACACUCAGAUGCGAAAGCGUGGGGAGCAAACAGGAUUAGAUACCCUGGUAGUCCACGCCGUAAACGAUGUCUACUUGGAGGUUGUGGCCUUGAGCCGUGGCUUUCGGAGCUAACGCGUUAAGUAGACCGCCUGGGGAGUACGGUCGCAAGAUUAAAACUCAAAUGAAUUGACGGGGGCCCGCACAAGCGGUGGAGCAUGUGGUUUAAUUCGAUGCAACGCGAAGAACCUUACCUACUCUUGACAUCCAGAGAACUUUCCAGAGAUGGAUUGGUGCCUUCGGGAACUCUGAGACAGGUGCUGCAUGGCUGUCGUCAGCUCGUGUUGUGAAAUGUUGGGUUAA
rnacentral:rRNA from 1 species